rnacentral:tRNA from 1 species
AGUAAAGUGGCAGAAAAGUGCCUCAGGUUUAAGCCCUGAUCAGGGAGGCUCACUCCCUUUACUA